UGGGGAAUUUUGGACAAUGGGGGCAACCCUGAUCCAGCCAUCCCGCGUGUGCGAUGAAGGCCUUCGGGUUGUAAAGCACUUUUGGCAGGAAAGAAACGGCGCUGGUUAAUACCUGGCGCAACUGACGGUACCUGCAGAAUAAGCACCGGCUAACUACGUGCCAGCAGCCGCGGUAAUACGUAGGGUGCAAGCGUUAAUCGGAAUUACUGGGCGUAAAGCGUGCGCAGGCGGUUCGGAAAGAAAGAUGUGAAAUCCCAGGGCUUAACCUUGGAACUGCAUUUUUAACUACCGGGCUAGAGUGUGUCAGAGGGAGGUGGAAUUCCGCGUGUAGCAGUGAAAUGCGUAGAUAUGCGGAGGAACACCGAUGGCGAAGGCAGCCUCCUGGGAUAACACUGACGCUCAUGCACGAAAGCGUGGGGAGCAAACAGG
rnacentral:rRNA from 2 species